UGAUCAUGGCUCAGAUUGAACGCUGGCGGCAGGCCUAACACAUGCAAGUCGAGCGGUAGCGGGAAGACUUGCUCUUUGCCGACGAGCGGCGGACGGGUGCGUAACACGUAGGAAUCUGCCCGGUAGUGGGGGAUAGCCCGGAGAAAUCCGGAUUAAUACCGCAUACGCCCUAAGGGGGAAAGCAGGGGAUCUUCGGACCUUGCGCUAUCGGAUGAGCCUGCGUCGGAUUAGCUUGUUGGUGGGGUAAAGGCCUACCAAGGCGACGAUCCGUAGCUGGUCUGAGAGGAUGAUCAGCCACACUGGGACUGAGACACGGCCCAGACUCCUACGGGAGGCAGCAGGAA
rnacentral:rRNA from 1 species